AUUGAACGCUGGCGGCAUGCCUUACACAUGCAAGUCGAACGGCGGCACGGGAGCAAUCCUGGUGGCGAGUGGCGAACGGGUGAGUAAAGUAUCGGAACGUGCCCAGUCGUGGGGGAUAACGUAGCGAAAGUUACGCUAAUACCGCAUACGAUCUAUGGAUGAAAGCGGGGGAUCGCAAGACCUCGCGCGAUUGGAGCGGCCGAUAUCAGAUUAGGUAGUUGGUGGGGUAAAGGCUCACCAAGCCGACGAUCUGUAGCUGGUCUGAGAGGACGACCAGCCACACUGGGACUGAGACACGGCCCAGACUCCUACGGGAGGCAGCAGUGGGGAAUUUUGGACAAUGGGCGAAAGCCUGAUCCAGCCAUGCCGCGUGCAGGAUGAAGGCCUUCGGGUUGUAAACUGCCUUUGUACGGAACGAAAAGGUUUGGCCUAAUAAGCUGAGCUCAUGACGGUACCGUAAGAAUAAGCACCGGCUAACUACGUGUCAGCCGCCGCGGUAA
rnacentral:rRNA from 1 species